AUAUCAGUCAUGCAUAGCAUAUCAAUAAGCGGAGGAAAAGAAACUAACAAGGAUUCCCUUAGUAACGGCGAGUGAAGCGGGAAGAGCUCAAAUUUGAAAUCUUCAAGGUUCUACCUUGACGAAUUGUAGUUUAUAGAAGUGUUUUCUGUUAGUGGAGUGGCAAAAGUUCUUUGGAAUAGGACAUCAUAGAGGGUGAGAAUCCCGUAUUUGGUCAUUCCUCCUAGCGUUGUAAUACACUUUCAACGAGUCGGAUUGUUUGGGAAUGCAGUCCAAAAUGGGUGGUAAAUUUCAUCUAAAGCUAAAUAUUGGCGAGAGACCGAUAGCGAACAAGUACCGUGAGGGAAAGAUGAAAAGAACUUUGAAAAGAGAGUUAAACAGUACGUGAAAUUGUCAAAAGGGAAGCGUUUGACACCAGUGUUGUUUUUCCGAAAAUCAAUUACGAAUGUUUUGUUUUUAAGAAGUUAUGACUUCAUCGGCUUGCUUCUCUCUUUAUGAAACUUUCUUAAUGCACUUUUCGGUUAACAAGUCAACAUCAAUUUCUUUUGUUGUAAAAGGGUACGAGGAAGGUGGCUUUCUUUUCGGAGAAAGUGUUUAUAGCCUUGUAGCCUCUGCAAUCGGAGAGAUUGAGGUCUGCAGCGUAGAUCCUUCGGGGUUAGAUACAGUUUGUGCUAAGUUAUAGCUUUUCAUAGACAACUUGUUGACUAUGUUUAGUCUUGUAGCUUACUCGCUGAUGCUAUUUUACCUACGCUUAGGAUGUUGAUCUCUCACAGUCGAGC
rnacentral:rRNA from 1 species